UGUAACACCGAUAAUUAUUUUAAUAGUCAUUAACAAACAGUAAUUAGGCAGAACUCCAACGUUCCUGCAUGGAUUAUUCACAGUGCUGUGUGAUUUUAAAAAGAACAAGGUUGUCACUAUCCAGGCUCCCAGAGAUAAGAGUGGAUGAUUUCUUCCUUCAGGUUUUCUGGCAUGGAAACCUAUCUUUGACGUGAUUUUGUAAAACAAUGGUCACGUUGGGGACCAAGACAGAAUGUCCUAGCUAGGCUAGUAUGUUCGUUCGUUCCAUUCAUUCAUUCAAAUGUUUACAGAUCACUUGAAUGCUGCCAUUUUUGAUGUCAGAUUUGUGAUGGUUUAUUUCUUCUGCGUAAAGACUGGCCGGAGCAGAAUUGAUCGCUAACAGAGGAUGGCGAACAUCCCACUGGUGGUGGAAGAGGUCUGUGAAGCCAUGAUGUUGUCAAUGACGAUUUUGCUGCCGUUCCCAUUGCUUCCUACUUUUCCACUAUAGGAUGUCAUGACCUCCAAAAAGAUCUACAGUCCAGCAAGGGACUUCCUGGGGAUGUACGGUCAAAUCGAAACCUUCCGAGCCCUGAAAGCAACAUUUUUAGAGACAGUGCUGGAGGUAGAGACCCAAAGGGUUCUGGCACAGCCCGAAGGAGAAACUGACAAGCCUUCUUUCUGCCCGGGGGUGUGUGUGGGUCAUUUCUAGUCAAACAGGUUUUUGAAACAGCAAAAAGGCCUUGUUGUUCAGCUCAGAAAAUGACAAGUGUACUACUUAUCAAUUUUUGAAAUGAUUUCCAUUGAGAGUGUCAGCCUUCUCUUACAGGUAUGGGGAUGAUGUGCCAUGUAGUCUGGAGGAAAACAGGCUGAGGAAAACAGCCCCGAUUUACUCUUUUAAGGCCUUGGCUGAUAUGGAUGGCCUCUCUGCCUGGGUUUCAAAAAACCCCAUAAUCCACGGCGUGGUGGCCAGGAGCAGUGGAAGUUGUCAUUCAACAUAUUGGGAAGACAGAGAGAGAGGCAAACUUAUUCAUAAGACAGCUUGCUAUAUUUAUUUGCCCCGUACAUACUUCGUUUUUCCUCCAGUAAGCGCAAGGUGGAGAGCGUGGCUGUCUUCCUCAUGACAACCCAACGAGGAAACUCUGACAGAGAAGAAGCCAGCCUGGAUAGGGGGGUUUCAUGAUGGAGGAGCCACCACAGACUAAGCCCUGCUACUCAAUAUUCUAGCUUCCCUCGGGUGACAGAACUUUUUGAAAUCUGUUUCAAAAAGAUGAACACUGAUACAGGAAUGGGGGGAGCAUGGUUUUCUUUUUUAAGAUCAAAACAGGCUGAAGAACACCCUUUUGUACAAUUCGAAUGCAAAUAAAGUAAAGAAAAAGUCUUCCUGAGCAUCUUGCUAAUAAGGUAUGUGGAGUUGCUCUCAGAUCAAUAUACUGUAAGCUAGUUUUUGGUCUCUGAAUUACAGCCCAAGGGGCACAGCACUAGAGGAAAAACAGGACGGGGAGGGAGAAGGAAAAUGCAGGGUCGGGCGCCUGCUUUUAUACCGUUCUAAUAAGAAGUAGCUGCAAUGGAAAGAGUUUAGGUAUGAUGAUGGAAUGGCUAUUGCUAAUUUACAGGGGAGGAGGGGAGCCAAAAGGACCUUGGGCCCGUCCUGAAGGCCUCAAAUCUAUGUAAGUGGCAUACAGUAUAAUUGAAUGGAUUAAUGCUAGGCCUUUUUGGAAGAAAAAAACUCCCAAUACAGUGUAUUUCAAAUAUUAUUCCUUAGGGCUGCCUUUUCCUUUGACAUCUUGAGAGUCUUCAUAUCUCAGCACUGUUGGAAAAAUCGAGGGGGAAAAAGAAAGAAGAUAAAUGAGCUCACUGUAGAUCAGGAAGAAAAAUUCUUGAAUGCGAGAAGAGAGGUAACGCCCGCGGGACAAACAUGGGACCGAAACAUCUCUUUUGAUUUGAAACAGGCUCCAGAAAUUCUUGUUAUAAAGACACUGCAUUUGAAUGACAGCAGGAAACGCACAGAGAUACUGUAUGUCUAAGUAGACCAACCUUUUUAAAAGCUGAAGGAGAAAAGCCCAGAGGUUCGUUCUGGGAAAUGCCCUUCGUUACAAAUAGGACUGGGUUCAAGAGACAUCUGAGCCUGGAACUGGGAGACUUUUUUUUAACAUUUUGAAUCAGGAGAAAAACACAGCCCUGCAGCGCCUGUUCAUACCGUCAGCUUAUCCACUGCACGUUACAACCACCCAUCGUUUGCUCUGUUCACAGCCGACGGCUGCUACAUUUAUUAAAAACACUUCCACUUGAAUAUGUUGGAGCAGCAGCUUGGUACAGAAAACUGGCCUCAAAGGUCCCUAAUAUUCUGGUGCAACUAAGAGUGGCAGGUACCACUUGGUUUUUAAGACCUGUUGCCGAUCAACUCAAGAGUUGUACACAUUGACUAACAUUUUAAGCAGGGAGACACGGUUCAACCUUCUUCCCACUUGGCUUCUUGCUCCUUCCUCAUCCCUUUACGCCGCCUCGGACAGCCAGAUGGUUUUUCAGCCACAUGAAACCGGUUUUCCCCGAAAAACCUACGCGUUGGAUGCAAAAAAAUAUU